UACGUAGGGUGCGAGCGUUGUCCGGAAUUAUUGGGCGUAAAGAGCGUGUAGGCGGCCAGACAGGUCCGUUGUGAAAACUAGAGGCUUAACCUCUAGACGUCGAUGGAAACCGUCUGGCUAGAGUCCGGAAGAGGAGAAUGGAAUUCCUGGUGUAGCGGUGAAAUGCGCAGAUAUCAGGAAGAACACCCGUGGCUAAGGCGGUUCUCUAGUACGGUACUGACGCUGAGACGCGAAAGCGUGGGGAGCGAACAGG
rnacentral:rRNA from 1 species